CGAACAUAAGCGGAGGAAAAGAAACUAACAAGGAUUCCCCUAGUAACUGCGAGUGAAGCGGGAAAAGCUCAAAUUUAAAAUCUGGCGGCUUUGGUCGUCCGAGUUGUAUUCUAGAGAAGUGUUUUCCGCGUUGGACCGUGUAUAAGUCUCUUGGAACAGAGCGUCAUAGAGGGUGAGAAUCCCGUCUUUGACACGGACUACCAAUGCUUUGUGAUACACUCUCAAAGAGUCGAGUUGUUUGGGAAUGCAGCUCAAAAUGGGUGGUAAAUUCCAUCUAAAGCUAAAUAUUGGCGAGAGACCGAUAGCGAACAAGUACCGUGAGGGAAAGAUGAAAAGCACUUUGGAAAGAGAGUUAAACAGUACGUGAAAUUGCUGAAAGGGAAACGCUUGAAGUCAGUCGCGUUAUCUAGAACUCAACCAGGCUUGCUUGGCGUAUUUUCUAGUUAACGGGCCAGCAUCAGUUUUGACCGCAGGAAAAAGGCCAGGGAAAUGUGGCACCCUCGGGUGUGUUAUAGUCUCUGGUCAUAUACUGUGAUUGGGACUGAGGACCGCAGCACGCGCAAGCUGUGCUUAGGAUGCUGGCGUAAUGGCUUUAAACGACCCGUCUUGAAACACGGACCAAGGAGUCUAACAAACCUGCGAGUAUUUGGGUGGUAAACCCGAGUGCGUAAUGAAAGUGAAAGUUGGGAUCUCUGUCGUGGAGAGCACCGACGCCCGGACCAGACCUUCUGUGACGGAUCUGCGGUAGAGCAUGUUUGUUGGGACCCGAAAGAUGGUGAACUAUGCCUGAAUAGGGUGAAGCCAGAGGAAACUCUGGUGGAGGCUCGUAGCGAUUCUGACGUGCAAAUCGAUCGUCAAAUUUGGGUAUAGGGGCGAAAGACUAAUCGAACCAUCUCAU
rnacentral:rRNA from 1 species